rnacentral:misc_RNA from 1 species
AAGUCGUAACAAGGUUUCCGUAGGUGAACCUGCGGAAGGAUCAUUACCAAAUGACCAACCAACCUUCACACAUGUGCACUUGUCUGCAGGACCUGGCGCGAGCCGUAUGCUCCAUCAUCGGUGUCUGCUGGCCGCGCCAACUUCAUCAACAACCACAUACAACAACAAUACAACUUAUCCAUCAUUGCAGUGUAGUGACUGCAAUCAAAACUAAAAAACAACUUUUAGCAACGGAUCUCUAGGCUCUU